rnacentral:tRNA from 1 species
UGGGCUGGGGCUCAGUGGUACAGCACUCGCCUAGCAUGUGUGAGGCCCUGGGUCCGGUCCCCAGCACCACAU